rnacentral:lncRNA from 1 species
GCUUCAAAUGUGCUUCACAGACAAGGAAAAAAUCUCCCAGUUGGCCGCUCCUGGAUUCCUUAGCUCGGAACUCCAGACACAUAUUCAGUCUCUCUUAAUAUGAUCAUGAGGGAAGUCUGGAAGUAUCUCUUGAAUCUAAAAAUGCAGAUGCCCCACACCUCAUCUGUUCCCAUCUUGGCACCAUCCUACCUGCACCUCGGCAAGGAGAUUUGGUCUCAUGUUUGUCACCGCAAGCAAUUGAAACAACUGGCGUGUCUGGCAACAGAUGAAAUAAGGCAUGACAUGGCCUAGUACAGAUAUGUUCUACAACUGGAAAAAAAUGGUUAUGAUUGAGGCUUAGAAGUGGAGUGCAGUGAAGAAACUUUAGGGAAGCCUGACAACCACACCCUCUGCUGAUCCCUGUGGAAUUUUACAUGGAUAAUGAGUAAAAGACUGUCCUGCCAAUAGAGAAUACAGUGAAACGGUAUGGAACAUACACAGUGGAACAGAGGACACUGAUGGAACAGUGUUUAUAAGCACAAAGUUUGGAAGUACGGAAUCCUAGAUAAAAUCCUGACUGUGGAAUUAACUGCGUGACCUUCGGCAAAUUACUUCAUCUCUUUGAGCCUCAGUGUCUUCACAUAUAAAAUGAGAAUAAUAAAAGC